AAUAUUAAAUCCAGGGGUUUUACUUUAUUUCUCACGUAUUUUUCUGCUAGCUUCUAGAGAUGAAAUGCUAUAUAUCACUUAUCUUUCUUAUGUUGUCACUAGAGAGAACUUGAAAAUGUCUUUACUUUGGACUACCAUUUAUUUUCGGAUUGCCCACUAAAAUAAAAUGAAAAAUUUUCAAAUAGCUUCCACUCGUUGAGUGAGUACUUAACCUUUAUUACCACUCCGAGAGCACAAGUUCACUAGAGAACCUAUUUCAUAUUUACAAUUGUAGGCAUUACCAUCUAUGCGCUUUCCGAUUUAGACCUUCUUGGAAGCCUUAACAAAUGCAAAGGUUUUGCAGCGUAUUUUGAGGAUAUUUAGUAGGUUGCACUGUAUAAGAAAUGCAUUGAUAAAGCUUAAUAAAGCAAAAAUUGUCUCUAUUUUCCUUAGUUACAUCUCACUCUCCAUUUGUUCUUAUUCAAAUUUAGCUGCUUUCUUCAGAUCUACCAACUUCCUCUGAGCUCAUUUGUCACCUUUAGCAAGCCUGGUAAACACAUUUAUUGAUCACCUGGCACAAGCCAGAAAACACCUAUAACUGCAAAAGCUAAUAGAAGCAUAGUAAUAUGACACUUGAAAGGAAUUGAUGAGGAAAUAUUUUUCAUGUGGUUUGGAGAGAUGAAUGUUUUAAACAAGCAAAGCCUGACAUCAUCAAAUAGUUUAUAAUUCUGCUCUUCUUUGGGUUUCUUUGGGUUUUUAUCAUUGUGUUAUAAAAACUUGUUUAAAUAACUGCAGCUUUACCAGAAUGUGAACUGCCUGUGGCAGUCAGCAUAGCUGAGCUUUGUAUCUCAAUAUCUAAGCAAGUUGCCUGGCUCAUAGGAGGUACUUAAGAAUGACUAUGAGUGAAUAGAUGGAAAGCCAUUCUAAAUUAUUGCUUUCAUCAAGGUUCUUUCUGAUUCACUGAUUUCUCAAGAUUUUCUGCUGCAUUUGGACCACUAGGUAUGCUGACUCUGUCAGGAAAUUAUAUCUUUCACUAUAAGGAAAUACUUGGCCAGGCAGGGUUGGUCAUGACAUGGAAUUCCAGCACUUUGGGAGACAGAGGCAGGUGGACCACUUGCAUCCAGGAGGUCGAGAUCAGCCUGGGCAACAAAACAAGGUAAAUGAUUAAGGGAGUCACUAUUGAAGAUUAUUCUCAAGGCACUCAAGACGUCUCAUUCAUUUUCCUAACAAAAUUAAGAGCAAGAACUGGACUUUGGUCAACGUAUGGAGGAAAAUUCAUUUAUUACAAGCAGAAUGAUUUGCUGUUGGACUGCAGAAUGAUUUGCUGUUGUAAAACUCCAAAAAAAAUUGAAAAAGUAAAAGUAGAAAUCUACAUUGUAUUAGUCUGUUCUCACACUGCUGUAAGUACUACCUGAAACUAGGUAAUUUAUAAAGAAAAGAGGUUUAAUCAACUCACAGUUCCAUAGACUGUACAGGAAGCAUGGCUGGAUAGCCUCAGGAAAUUUACAAUCAUGGCAGAAGGUGAAGGGGAAGCAGGCACGUCGUGACAGGGUAGCGGGAGAAUGCAAACUGGGAAGUGCUACAGACUUUUUAACAACCCGAUUGCAUGAAAACUGACUCACUAUUAGCAGUAAGGGGGAAAUUUGCCCCCAUGAACCAAUCGCCUCCCACCAGGUCCCUCCCCCAAUACUGAGGUUACAAUUCACCAUGAGAUUUGGGUGAAGACAAAGAGCCAAACCAUAUGAUGUGUCAGGCCCAGAAUUGUGUGAAAACAAUUUAAGUAAGAGUCUUACACUUCUAACCACAAUCACAAAUAUGAUGUUCCCACUUAGGCUGUGAGUUAUUGUCUGUUACUAAAUGAUAUCUCAAGUGGAGGACAUUACUUGGUAAUGGAAAGCAGCAGGUACUUUGGUGACAAAUAAAACUGGACCACUUCUUGACUUUGUCACCUAUAACCUACAGAAAAUCUUAAUUGUGCAAAUAUCAGUUUAUUUAAUUUUAGAUAGGCUAAUGAUUAGACUAUCUAAAGUGAUUAUUACUACAGAGGAUUGAAAAGUGCUUUGCCUAGUACUUGACACACAAUAGGUGCCCAAACACAUUAAUCUUUCCUUCCCAUUGGAAUCAGUACUACUCCUCCCUACCCAAUUUCCAUGUAUUUUUUAAUUCAGCUAACAUUUGUUGAGAACCACUCUGAUAAAUAUUAAGAAAAAUAUAAAAGUGAAAUAGAUAAUAGGUCUAGCCUUCUGGAACCUUAGCUAUUUCAGGUGAGAACAAAUCACAUCAUAUGUAAUCAGAGAAAGGGCAAGUCACAAUGAAUAAAAUGUUCCCAUUUAAAUAAAGUAAUGCGACAGUACAGUGGAGGGUGAGAGUAAUCUGAGCUAGAUGAAUCUCCAAAAGUUUCUUUGAGGAAGUGCAGGAUUUUGCUUACAGGUUUGCAUUCUGUAUUCAACCUACCCUAAGCAGUGCAAUCACUAGGAAAAUCUCCUUUUUUCUUUAUUGUUUCAUGUUUGGUAGACCUAACUAACAAAUUAAAAAGCAUCUUGAAGUUACUGGCUUUCAUCACACUGCGAAGUUUCGUACGUUUAUACCAUGCAGUAAAAAGUGGGAAAAAAAAAAAACUAAAUUGGUUUAGAAUGCAAAACCCAGAGGUACGUAAUCUUGAUCAUUUGCAGCAUAUUUUCUGCCUAUAAAAUGUAGUUAUCUCACUAUUUCCAAUCAUUGGUAUGAUGAUUUAACAAGGUGGUAUCUAUAGAAGAGAGCCUUAUCUAUCAAGUGCUGUAAAAACUGAGAUUAUUUUUAUUAUAGUUGGAGUUCAACUAGUAACUGUUAAUUGAUUAAAACUUAUAGCAGUUUUAUGAGUUAGAAAAUAAUUUUCCAUUGUCUAAGUGAAUCACUGAGAUGUUUCAUUAAAGGCACCUAAAUAAAUUUUUAGCUUCCUAUGUAAAAUCAGUCAACCAUACAGGUUAUAUACCCGACAAAUCCUAGAGUAUAUUGGAAAUAUUAAUAUUUUUUAUUAUCUUUGAUAAUGUCUCAACUUCUGCUAUAGUAAAAUUAUGCCAAGUUUUGGUAAAAUAGAUUUACAAGUAAAUGUUUAACUCCAUAGGGGAAACUACAUUGAGAAAUCUGAGAACACAGUUUUUUAUACACCAACGUAAACUGUGGGGGAAAAAAAAACUGUUUCAGACUUUAGGGCAAUUGUUUUGCAAAUAAACAGAAUUACAGUUUUUCCCAUUAUUGCCAUUAAGAAGUAUCCUACCUUCUAAUUUCUUCAUUUGAAAAUGUUAGAAUAUAUAUGCACUAAAAAUAAUCUAGUUGAUCAACUGAGUUUUUGGUGAUUUGAAGAAAUAUUAAUACACAUAAUAUUUACCUGAAAGCCACAGCAGAUUAAUUUAGAAUCCAGGUCUACCGUUACUGGAUUGGAUUAGCUUGGGUAAUCAUAUGUUUACUCUGGCCUCAGCUGCUUUAUCUUAAAAUGGAAGGUUACUAUUAUUGGUUUUGUAGGAAAUUUUCAAGAAUUGACUAGAUUCUAUAUUAAAAGUGCAGUUUCUUUAUUUAAAAACAUAUUUUAAGAGCCAGGGUUUUGCUCUGCCAUCUAGGCUGGAGUGCAGUGGUAUAAUCACACCUCACUGCAAACUCAAACGUAUUGCUCAAGUUAAGUUCCAACCUCAGCCUCCUGAGUAGCUAAGACCUCAGGCAUGUCCCACCAUGCCUGGCUAAUUCUAUUUAUAUAUGUAUUUAUGUAUGCAUUUACUUGCUUGUUUGUUCAUUAUUGUAGAGAUAGGAUCUAGCUAAGUUGCCCAGGCUGGUCUUGAACUCCUGGCCUCAAGCAAUCCUCCUGCCUUGGCCUCUCAAAAUGUGGGAUUAUAGGCAUGAGCCACCACACAGAGCCUCUAAAAGUGUAUUUGAAAUGUUUGCUGACAGCCAUUAUUUACAGUUUAGACACAAGUUUUCAAACUUCUUAAUAAUUUGCAUUUACAUUAAAUUUCCUAUUAAUAUUGGCCGUGAAGAACCAUAUUAGACCUGUAUUUCAAUUUGCCAAUUGCAAAAUGCUUCUUCACUGAAACAAGACCUGCCACAAAAGUCACACUUAAAAGACAAUAAAAUUAAGUUUCAAAGCAUAUUUUUGACUCCCCACAGUGUGCCAGAUAUGAAACUCUGCUAACUCAUAGCUAUUUCUUAAAAACAAUUUGUGUUUUUGCACUAUUUCCGAUAGCCUUCGACAGUUGUGUUCAAGCUUUAAAAUAUCUGAGGAAGUAUCAAAGGUCUAUAUAAAUGAAUGGCUGAAGGAGAGAGGGGUAAGAGGACUUCAAGCCCGGAAUGCUGCCUACUUCCCUGACAUGAGACAUGACCAGCCUUUAAUCGGUACUACUGCUGAAGCAGGCUCAGGGGAUUUGACAGCCAAUAGAAGAGGAAUACAAGCCUAAAGCAUCAUCAUUCAACUGUCCCUUCCUCGUCUCCCUCUUCAUAAAAUGGAAAGGCUGAGUAAGAUCACCUCUAAGAUGUACAGUAUAUAGAAGAACAUGAACAUCUGGAAGAUUCCCAAACUAACAGCAAUUCCAACCGGAGCAAGCAUGGAUGGGUGAAGGAUUACGUACACUGCAUUUAUAUUCUUCUAAGUGUCUUUGUAAAGAAAUGAUGGCAGACUGAAGCUAAGUAAAUUGCCCAGGUCUGAAUUCCUGGUAAGUGACAGAGCCUGAAUUCCAAAUUACACAGCCUGUCCCCAGAAUUCUACUUUCAACCUGCAGAGUAUUCCAUACAUGACAAUAAUAUUGUGGUGUGGAUUUCCAUCUUUCAUCUUAACAAAUUAAGAAACAUCAUAAGCAAGAAAUUAUUGAGGAAUCGUGACUAGCUGACCAUGGAGUGAGAGUAAUUUACGGGUGUGUUUUUCUGACUGAAUUGAUGAAUACCAUGAUUUCACUUGCAGAUUGUGUAUAACACACAAUUACUUAGUUAAAUUGAAUAAACAUUUUCACACAUUAUGAAUUUCCGGUUUAAAAGUAUAAACAAUUUCAUUUCCACUCCUCAUGAAAGUUGCUUUAUAAUAGACCUCCCAGAUGCCUAUACCCAGCAAUUAACAAUCAAUAUUUAAUAUUUUUAGAUAACCAUCUGUUAUGGUUGAAUUGUGUCUCCCAAAAGGAUUUGUUGAAAUCCUAACCCCCAGUCCUCAGAAUGUGAUAUCGUUUGGGAAAAGGGUCAUUGCAGAUAUAAUUGGCUAAGUGGAGUUCACACUAUAGUAGGGUGGACCCUCAACCCACUAUAACUGAUGUCCUUUUAUAAGAGGAAAAUUUGGACACACACAUACACACACACACACAGAGAGAGAGAGAGAGAGAGAGAGAAAACUAUGUGAAGACACACACACACACAGAGGAGAAAGCCAUGUGAAGACAGAAUCAGAUUUUGGAUUUAUGCUGCCACAAACCCCAGAGGAAUGCCUGAGACUAUCAUAAGCUGAAGGAUAAAAGGAAAGAGCCUUCCCCAGAGGCUACAAAAGGAAUAAGCUCUAGCCAACACCUUGGUUUUGGACUUGUGACCCCAGAACUCUUAGUGAAUAUAUUUUUGCUUACGUAGGCACCCAGUUUGUGGUAUUUUGUUAUGAAAGCCCUAGGAAACCAAUUCAACCUUAAAAUAAUUUGUCACUGAGCUAAUAUUUAGAAUAAUCAUUCUUCAAAAAUUAAGUUUCUAGAAUAAUAUUGAAACAUGAUACUUCUUGACUGAAUCAACAGAUUAUAAUUUGUUAAGAGAAUUUUCUUAGUAUGAUGAAAUCACAACCCUUGGCUCUUAACUAAGGAUAAACCAUAUCUGACAUUUUAUAGUCUGAAGUACAAACCACCUGCAAGUAAGCUCAUGAAGACUUUUUACUAAGUGAUGGAAGAUAAUAUGCAAUGCAUUUCUUCCCAUCAGGAAGACGAAUAGCUAUCCAAAAACUAGCUGUCUAUUUCCUUAGGGGAUCAAGGCAUAUUUUUAACACCCAUGUGAACGUGGAAGGACACCCGCAAUUGGCAUGGUACAGCAGAAAAUGGGUGGCCUAUCAUCUCCU